rnacentral:lncRNA from 1 species
CAGUUCUUUGUUAACAACACUAUUUUGAGAGGGAGGGGGCUAGAUAAAAGAAAUAAUUAUUUCAUAAGGAGAUGAGUGAAUUUUAAGAGAAUGGAAAAAAGGAAAAUAGUUUAUAUAUAACUUGUUUUUCUUCCUUCUUCCUUAAUUGUGGCUUUGUUUUUAUUCAUUGACUGAAUUUUUUGAAAACUUUUUAUUCUCAGAGAAAACUGAAGUGCCUGUACUUAAGAAGAGGCGUGAGGUGCUACCUAUGGAUAUAACCAUCCCUAAAGAUGUGUGUGCCAACAAUGCUGAUGGGGAAGAAGUUCCUAGAUUCCCACCUCAGAAAGAGAAGGCACAGUCCUGCCCUAAUAAUUUAGAAGAUGCCAACUUGCAGUUAGAAAAACCGAUUUCUACCAACACUCCCAUAGCCUCUUUUUCUCCUCACAAAAAUCUUCCCAUGGAUAUACAGCUGAAGAAAGAAAAGAAAUGUGUGAAGCUCAUAGAUGUUCCAGCUGACGCUGAGGCCUUAAGCGAAAGAAGUGGAAAUACGCUUCGCUCUCCCAGCUAGACGUGGGACUUUGUCUCAGCCAAUGAAAUGUGAGCACAAGUGAUGAGUGCUACCCUGCCCAUGCUCUUCACUGUCUCCCUUCCUGCUGACUGGAAUGGGAAUAUGGUGGUGAGUCAUUUUGGAUCAUGUAUAUAAUUAUUAUAAAUCCAAGGAACAUUAGAAGAGCAAGAAAGAGACCUGAAGAUUUCAAAGACCUGCAAUACCAACUGGGACUUUAUGUAAAAUAGAAGUAGAUUUCUAUCUCAUUUUAGGUAAUUUUAUUUUGGUUCUCUGGCUUUGAUCUGAUACUUAUCUCUAUCUCCAUAUACAUUCAUUCCGUAGGUUAUUCUAUGGAUGCCAACCCUGAAAUAGCUUUGGCUAUUUCAUCUCUUAGGAACACAUUUUAACAUACAUUAAAAUGUAACAUAUUGUAUGUAACAUAUGUUUGUAACAUACUGUAUUUAACAUAUGUAAAAUGUAACAUAUUGUAACAGUUACAGCUAUACUACCGAAUUCCAGCCCAAUCUCAGAUCUGAAUAUUUGACUCUGAGAAAGAUUGAUCUCCAGAGCUUCACCUUCUACUGAGCUUUGGAGAAAGAAGUUUCUGUGUUUUCUCUAAACAUGGGUCUAAAAUGAUUUCUUCAGUCUGUACUUGAGGCUUUGCCUCACUCCUGUGGAAUGCC